GGGGCUAAAAAUAGAAAAAGAAAGAGGGAAAAGGAGAUGACAUGUCAAGGGAUGCGACAGCAGUUAAAUAAGUGGAUGGUGAAAGGCAACAGGUGUGAGGAUGGUGGACCAGGAAAGACAGGGGAAGGCAACAGUGGAGAAGAACACAGGCACGGAGUGAAU